GUUGUAAUAAAACUUAUAUUUUAGUCAUGCAUAACUGAUAUUGACGAAUUUAGAAUAGUUCGUCCAUACAUCGUUGUUCUUGAAACAAUCAUUAUUAGUACAAGUACACACCCGUGAUAUCGCGGGUCCGUGACUGAAUUAAAGUAUAUAACUAUGCCUAAGCCUUAUUUUAGUAAUUGGUAUUGUCAUCUGAUAAAGUCAUGUCGAUUAUAAGAUACACAGUUUUCUCUGCUUUCAAAUCUUUCUGUUUGAACCCGUUGACCUGGAACUUAUCAAUUAUUGGAAAUGUUAAUUAUUUGGAAAACAAAAGGUCCAGGCUAUCCAGGAAUGGGGUAUUUUUUAAUCAACAGCAUUGUCCUAUAUUAAUUAUCUUAGAAAGUCUUGCUGAUUGCUGAAUAAAGCUACAAUAGGGAACAAUUUGACAAUGAUUGGAUUUAGUAGUGUCAGCCCUUUGAUUAUGACCCGUGUAUAUAGCAAAAGUUUGGUGGUGCGCCUGUCAAAUGCGGCAUGUACAGAUAAGGUAAUAGCUAACAGGUGAAUAUACUAUUGGUAUCGGUAUCGGAUUAGACCCGGAACUUGUUAAUUAUUGGCAAUAUUAAUUAUAUGGAAAACAAAAGGGUCCGAAGUGGUGUAAUUUUUAAUCUACACCAUUGUCCUAUAUUAGUUAUAUAUAGAGUUGAAUUCUUUGAUUUGUCGUUUUUACCCGAUGACGGCUG
rnacentral:lncRNA from 1 species